rnacentral:ncRNA from 1 species
GAGAUAGAGGCGCGGCGUUCAUCAGUCGCUCCGGCAGUGCGGGACGGUUCUCCCGCCGGAGCAAAAGGGGACGCCGCCGAAGCCCCCGCCGGCUGACCGGGCCGCGGCGGCUGGGCCGGCGGAGAAUAUCCGCCGGACUGUCACAAGGCCCUUCGGCUUUGUGGAGCGCUAUCG